GACGAACGCUGGCGGCGUGCUUAACACAUGCAAGUCGAACGGAAAGGCCCUGCUUGCAGGGUACUCGAGUGGCGAACGGGUGGGUAACACGUGGGUGAUCUGCCCUGCACUUCGGGAUAAGCCUGGGAAACUGGGUCUAAUACCGGAUAGGAGCCAUUUUUAGUGUGAUGGUUGGAAAGUUUUUUCGGUGUAGGAUGAGCUCGCGGCCUAUCAGCUUGUUGGUGGGGUAAUGGCCUACCAAGGCGGCGACGGGUAGCCGGCCUGAGAGGGUGGACGGCCACAUUGGGACUGAGAUACGGCCCAGACUCCUACGGGAGGCAGCAGUGGGGAAUAUUGCACAAUGGGUGCAAGCCUGAUGCAGCGACGCCGCGUGGGGGAUGACGGCCUUCGGGUUGUAAACUCCUUUCGCUAGGGACGAAGCUUUUUGUGACGGUACCUAGAUAAGAAGCACCGGCUAACUACGUG
rnacentral:rRNA from 1 species